UACAGAGGGUGCAAGCGUUGUUCGGAUUCACUGGGCGUAAAGGGUGCGUAGGCGGUCGGGUAAGUCUGAUGUGAAAUCUCACAGCUUAACUGUGAAACUGCAUUGGAUACUAUCCGGCUCGAGGAAUGGAGGGGAGACUGGAAUACUUGGUGUAGCAGUGAAAUGCGUAGAUAUCAAGUGGAACACCAGUGGCGAAGGCGAGUCUCUGGACAUUUCCUGACGCUGAGGCACGAAAGCCAGGGGAGCAAACGGG
rnacentral:rRNA from 1 species